CUGGUGUACCAGUUGUCGUGCCAACGGCAUAGCUGGGUAGCUAUGUGUGGACGGGAUAAGUGCUGAAAGCAUCUAAGCAUGAAGCCCCCCUCAAGAUGAGAUUUCCCAACUUCGGUUAUAAGAUCCCUCAAAGAUGAUGAGGUUAAUAGGUUCGAUGUGGAAGCAUGGUGACAUGUGGAGCUGACGAAUACUAAUCGAUCGAAGACUUAAUCAAAA
rnacentral:rRNA from 1 species